GACGAACGCUGGCGGCGUGCCUAAUACAUGCAAGUAGAACGCACAGGAUGCACCGUAGUUUACUACACCGUAUCCUGUGAGUUGCGAACGGGUGAGUAACGCGUAGGUAACCUGCCUGGUAGCGGGGGAUAACUAUUGGAAACGAUAGCUAAUACCGCAUAAGAACAUUUACUGCAUGGUAGAUGUUUAAAAGGUGCAAAUGCAUCACUACCAGAUGGACCUGCGUUGUAUUAGCUAGUUGGUGAGGUAACGGCUCACCAAGGCAACGAUACAUAGCCGACCUGAGAGGGUGAUCGGCCACACUGGGACUGAGACACGGCCCAGACUCCUACGGGAGGCAGCAGUAGGGAAUCUUCGGCAAUGGGGGGAACCCUGACCGAGCAACGCCGCGUGAGUGAAGAAGGUUUUCGGAUCGUAAAGCUCUGUUGUUAAGGAAGAACGUGUGUGAGAGUGGAAAGUC
rnacentral:rRNA from 1 species